AGCGAACGCUGGCGGCAGGCCUAACACAUGCAAGUCGAACGAACUCUUCGGAGUUAGUGGCGGACGGGUGAGUAACACGUGGGAACGUGCCUUUUGGUUCGGAAUAACUCAGGGAAACUUGUGCUAAUACCGAAUGUGCCCUUCGGGGGAAAGAUUUAUCGCCAUUAGAGCGGCCCGCGUCUGAUUAGCUAGUUGGUGAGGUAACGGCUCACCAAGGCGACGAUCAGUAGCUGGUCUGAGAGGAUGACCAGCCACACUGGGACUGAGACACGGCCCAGACCCCUACGGGGGGAGGGAGUGGGGAAUCUGGCGCAAGGGGGGAAAGCCGGACGCAGCCAGGCCGGGGAAAUGAGGAAGGUUUUAGGAUUGAAAAAUUCUUUCACCGGGGACGAAAAGGAGGGAACCGGGAGAAGAAGCCCCGGUUAAUUUCGU
rnacentral:rRNA from 1 species